CUGGCGGCACGCCUAACACAUGCAAGUCGAACGAAGUAGCAAUACUUAGUGGCAGACGGGUGAGUAACAUGUAGGUAUCUACCCUUUGGCCUGGAAUAACACGAGGAAACUUGUGCUAAUACCGGAUAAGUCUUUACGGAGAAAGCUUUAUGCACCAUUGGAUGAGCCUGCACUUGAUUAGUUUGUUGGUGGGGUAAUGGCCUACCAAGACUGUGAUCAAUAGCUGAUUUGAGAGGAUGAUCAGCCACAUUGGGACUGAGACACGGCCCAAACUCCUACGGGAGGCAGCAGUGGGGAAUCUUGCACAAUGGAGGAAACUCUGAUGCAGCGAUGCCGCGUGAGUGAAGAAGGCCCUUGGGUUGUAAAGCUCUUUCGUCGGGGAAGAAAAUGACUGUACCCGAAUAAGAAGGUCCGGCUAACUUCGUGCCAGCAGCCGCGGUAAUACGAAGGGACCUAGCGUAGUUCGGAAUUACUGGGCUUAAAGAGUUCGUAGGUGGUUGAAAAAGUUGGUGGUGAAAUCCCAGAGCUUAACUCUGGAACUGCCAUCAAAACUUUUCAGCUAGAGUAUGAUAGAGGAAAGCAGAAUUUCUAGUGUAGAGGUGAAAUUCGUAGAUAUUAGAAAGAAUACCAAUUGCGAAGGCAGCUUUCUGGAUCAUUACUGACGCUGAGGAACGAAAGCAUGGGUAGCGAAGAGGAUUAGAUACCCUCGUAGUCCAUGCCGUAAACGAUGUGUGUUAGACGUUGGAAAUUUAUUUUCAGUGUCGCAGCGAAAGCGAUAAACACACCGCCUGGGGAGUACGACCGCAAGGUUAAAACUCAAAUGAAUUGACGGGGACCCGCACAAGUAGUGGAGCAUGUGGUUUAAUUCGAAGAUACGCGCAGAACCUUACCAACACUUGACAUGUUCGUCGCGACUUUAAGAGAUUAAAGUUUUCGGUUCGGCCGGACGAAACACAGGUGCUGCAUGGCUGUCGUCAGCUCGUGUCGUGAGAUGUUGGGUUAAGUCCCGCAACGAGCGCAACCCUCACUUUUAGUUGCCAUCAUUUAGUUGGGCACUCUGAAAGAACUGCCAGUGAUAAGCUGGAGGAAGGUGGGGAUGACGUCAAGUCCUCAUGGCCCUUACGUGUUGGGCUACACACGUGCUACAAUGGUAUCUACAACAGGAAGCAAGACGGCGACGUUAAGCAAAUCCUUAAAAGAUACCUCAGUUCGGAUUGCACUCUGCAACUCGAGUGCAUGAAGCUGGAAUUACUAGUAAUCGUGGAUCAGCGUGCCACGGUGAAUGCGUUCCCGGGUCUUGUACACACCGCCCGUCACACCAUGGGAGUUGGUUCUACCUUAAGGCAAGGUUUAAAACCCUUGACCACGGUAUAGUCAGCGACUGGGGUGAAGUCGUAACAAGGUAGCCGUAGGGGAACCUGCGGCUG
rnacentral:rRNA from 1 species